rnacentral:rRNA from 1 species
UACGUAGGUGGCGAGCGUUGUCCGGAAUUACUGGGUGUAAAGGGCGUGUAGGCGGGGAUGCAAGUCAGAUGUGAAAUACCGAGGCUUAACUUCGGGGGUGCAUCUGAAACUGUAUUUCUUGAGUGUCGGAGAGGAAAGUGGAAUUCCUAGUGUAGCGGUGAAAUGCGUAGAUAUUAGGAGGAACACCAGUGGCGAAGGCGACUUUCUGGACGAUAACUGACGCUGAGGCGCGAAAGCGUGGGGAGCAAACAGGAUUAGAUACCCUGGUAGUCCACGCCGUAAACGAUGGAUACUAGGUGUAGGAGGUAUCGACCCCUUCUGUGCCGCAGUUAACACAAUAAGUAUCCCACCUGGGGAGUACGGCCGCAAGGCUGAA